UCCAGCCUGGGCAACAAGAGUGAAACUCCAUCUCAAAAAAAAAAAAAAAAUGAGUAUUUAGUUAAAGAGACAACUUUAACAUUUUAUAACAGAAUGAUUUUAUUUUGUUUUGGUUAUUCAUCCUAACAAUGCACAUUUUACAAGUAAUAAUGUAUUAAUGCAAAUAAACAUGAUUAAAAUAGUUUCCUCUGUAAGCCAUAACAGUGCUGGGAAGAAUCCACAAGAAGUAUAGGUCAGUUGUGAAUAAAAAAACUGAAUGAAAAAUCUGCUUAAUGAAAUAUAAAUUAAAAGAUUUUAAGCAUAAUUUUAAUUUAUAAUUUUUUUUUUGAGACAGAGUCUUGCUCAGUUGCCCAGGCUGGAGUGCAGUGGCAUGAUCUCAGAUCACUGCAGCCUCCACCUCCCGGGUUCAAGUGAUUGUUGUGCCUCAGCCUCCCAAGUUGCUGGGACUACAGGCGUGCACCACCAUGCUUGGCAAAUUUUUGUUUUGAAAUGGGGUUUCACCAUGUUGGCCAGGCUGGUCUCGAACACCUGACCUCAAGUGAUCCACCCUCCUUGGCCUCCCAAAGUGCUGGGAUUGCAGGCAUGAGCCACUGUGCCCUGCCUGUAAUUUUUAUUUAAUUUUUCCGGUGAUGGCAUGAGUGAAUGUCCACAUUUAAAGUUAUUUUGGUUCACACAUGGCCUUUGUUUAUUAUUUAUGAGAAAAAAUUAUAGAAAUAAUUUAAGGGUGGUACAGAAAUGCAAAUCUAGAGGACUUAAAAUGUACAUGAAAACUCCAUUUGAUAUGACAAAUAAUUUACAGGUCAAAUAUUUUAAUAUUUAUAUAUAUAAUAGAUGCCAGUUAGCACAAUUGACAAGUUCUCUUUUACGGAAAAGGCCCCAAAAUGUCUUCUACUGAUGCCAGAUCAGUUGAUUAUCUAGGGAUAGAUAUCUGAAAUAAGCUAGGCCAAUUUGAUUUUCUCACUCAGGAAUUACUUUAUUGACUAAUUUUAUUAGUUCAUUCAGUCAGCAAGUAUUUAUUGAAGGCCUGUUACAUGUUUGGUUGCUAGAGAUACAAUGAUGGAAAAUUCAGAUAAAGUUUCUGCUCAAACAAAGAAAUUAAAUUGGCUAGACAUGGAAAUAGUGGCAUCCAAGAGGGAAGGUCUAUACAUUAGUGCUGUUAAGGCCUAUAGAACUCCUCUGAUUCCUGUCAUUAUUUAAAAAACAAAACAAAACAAAACAAAACAAAAAAAAACCUUGGCGGUUUAGUUAUUUCUUCAGUUCUGUGAGCUACCCAAGCAUCCUUCCAGUCUUUCCAAUAAAACGGACCACCUCCUUCUUACUCUUAUUUUUAAUUUCUUAAAUUUGUUUUAAGCCAAAAAACCCUAACCAAUAUAUAAAUUGGACCUAGGGUGGGGUUUUAUUAUGUACUCAGCUUAGGUCAGAUGGUUAGAUGUCUAGUCUUAUAUCUAACAGAUUGGCUAUGAAGAUGUGGAAUUUGAAUAAAAGUGAUAGCUUCUUUACACGUCCAAUCUUAGAGUAGGGAAAUGAGCAUUUCACAGCAGAAAGUUUUGUUCUGAACAAAACAGAGUCCCUUGUAGUGUAUAUCUAUCAUAUAUACUGCAUUAUGUUUGGUUAGGACUUGAAAAUUUUAUUUCAUUGCAUCAUGUUUUUGAUCAAGAAUUUGUAGGAAUUUUGUGCAACAAGAGGUUAUAAUGUUAAUACGUAUUAAUAUUCUGACCGAGGUUGAAGUCUUCAUUCUUGAAAGAAAAAAAAAAUGCAAAAGUAUUCUGAUCUCAGAAGAUAUGAAAACUAUCACUCUUCAGAAUUACUGGCUUUGUGUUUUGAACUAGCUCUUUCAAUAGUUUAACCUUCAACUUUUUAUACUUGUCAUAACUUGUUUAUUAAAUGAAUCACUAUGUCACCACAUUCUAUACUGAUUUACAUAGAGAAGAUGUUCAGUAAAAGUUGGCAUGAUUUAAAUUUUACAACAAUUAACCAUAGAGUUUCAUCAUAAGAUUGGUUUAAGUGCAUUCAUUAUUGCAGUUGCAAGGUUAUGAGUUGUUAAUGUUUCAGAAAAAUUUUUAAGGACCCCUUUUAAAAAACGUUUUGUGUUUACAUAUAUACAUACCUCCUUCAUCCUAGGUUUCACUUUCUCUAGUUUCAGUUAGCCAAGGUCAACCUUGGUCUGAAAAUUGAUGAGUACAGUAUAAUAAAAUAUUUUGAGAGGGAGAGAGAGAACAUUCACAUGGCUUGUAUUACAAUGUUAUUAUAAUCUAUUUAAUAAUUAUUUUUUUUUAAGAGAUGGAGGUCUCAUUCUAUCGCCCAGGCUGGAGUGCAGUGGUGUAAUCAUAGCUCACUGUAGCCUUGAACUCUAGGGCUCAAGCCAUCCUCCUGGCUCAGCCCCAAGUAGCUGGGAUUACAGCCAAGAACCACCACACCUGGCUAUUUUAUUAUUGUUGCUGUUAAUCUCUUAUUGUGCCUAAUUUGUAAAUUAAACUUAAUCAUAGGUAUGUAUAGGAUAAAACUUAGUACAUAUGUAGUGUUCAAUAUUGUUUGCAGUUUCAAGCAUCCACUGGGGGUCUUGGGGCGCAUCCCCUGGGGAUAGGGUGCUGGGACUACUGUGUUCCUUACACAGUUUCAUCUAAUGUUAACAUUUUGCAUAACCAUGGGACAGUUAUUCAAACUAGGAGGUUGACAUAUAUGUUAUUAACUGCAGGCCUUAUUUGAAUUCCACGUGUUUUUCUUCUAAUGCCUUUCUUCUGAUCAGGAUAUAAUCCAGGAUUGCACAUUAGAUUUAGUUGUCUUUAUUCUGCAGUCUAUAAUAGUUCUGCAGACUUUUUGUCUUCUAUGGCUACACUUUGAGUUUGUACAAUGUGCUCUCAUGAUUGGGCCAGAGUUAUGCAUAUUUGACAACAAUAUCACAGAAACAAUAUGUCUUUUGUCAUGGGGUUCACGAUGUAUGUCUUCUUUACUGGUGAUAGCAACCUUGAUCACUUGUUAAGGUGGUUUCUGCUGGGUUUCUCCACUGUAAAGCUAUCUUUCCAUUUGCAGUUAAUACAUUUCUUGGGAGACACUUUGAGACUAUGCAGAUAAAAUCUAAGGAUCUUUCUUUGUUCUUAAAUUUUUUUUUUAAUUUGUGUAAAUUUAUGGUCUUUUUUUUUUUUAAAUCUAACUAAUUACCAAGAUCUAUGGAUUUAUCAUUCAAAAUCAAUCUUUCCUUUUUUUUGGAUCAAGUUUAGAUCAGUUUCCUUAAAUUCAUUUUAUCAUUCAAUGAUCAAGUAUGCUAAAAUGAAAAACGCUAGGGAUGCGAAAAUGAACAAGAUGUAAAUCUUGUAGUAUCACCUAAUAGUAGGCCUUGGCAUUAGACAGAUCUGAUUUCAAACCCUAAAUUCUAAUCUUGGAGUCCUGUGAAGUUGUGCAAGUUGCUUACCUUUGUUGGGCCUCAAAUUACCUCACAGAAUUAUUAGUAAGGGAUAAAUAUGAAAUUCUAGAAAGGCAAAACUAGUCUACAAUGCCAGUACAUUGUUGAUUGCCUUGGGCUAAGAGUGGGAAGUUGACCCAAAGGGAGCUGAGGAACCUUUUGGGAUGAAGGAAAUAUCUUCUAUCUUAAUUUUUUUCCCAAAACCUUAUAGUGUACAUUUGAAGUGAGUAUAUUUUAUUGUAGGCAAAUUAUAUUUUAAUGAAAUUGAUUUGAAAACCAAGGUGGUUCUCCUUGAACCCAGUUUUCCAUUUAAUGGGAUAAAAUAUGAUAUGUAGAAUUCAUAAGUCUUAAGGUUUUAGAAAUCAGUCGUCUAGCUCUCCCUUAUCCAGAGGAGUCUUGUGACAAUUUAGCAUUUGCAGAGCAAUUUAAGAGUUUAAGUCUAUAGUUGUGACAGAGUAAGAAAUAUAUUUUUGGUCCUACCCCCAGUUCCUGACACAGAGAACAUGAAAGCCCUUAUAAUUUCCUGAGUUGUAGGAGUACUGUCCUAUAUUCUGUUUUAAUAUUUGGUCAUUGACCCUGGUUCCUGUCUCAGAACUCCUAAAUCCCUUUAAAUUUUUGGGGUGAUAGUAGAGUCUUUUGUUCUAAUGGGGUGACACUUGGGCUCCUGCAUAGCUUCAGAAUGGGGGCUGGUCACCAGAAAGUCCACACCAUAAUUAGAACCUUGGAAAUUUCAGCCCCACUCCCAUCUUCUGGAAAGGGGAGAGGGACUGGAGAUUGAAUUAAUAAUCGAUUAUACCUACAUGAUGAAUGCUAAAAAUUAUUAAACUGUGGGAUUUGGAGAGCUUCUAGGUUGCAUUGAAAUGAGUCCAGAGAGGCCAUGGGAGUUCUGUGCACCUCCUCUACCUUGCCUUACACAUCUCUUCCAUUUGGCUGUUUCUGAGUUGCAUUCAUUAUAAUAAACUGGUAAAUGUAACUAAAGUGCUUUCCUGAGUUUUGUGAAUUGUCAUAGUAAAUUAUCAAACCAAAUGGAGGAUGUCAUGGAAACCUCUGAUUUAUAACCAAUCCAAACAGAAGUUUGUGAAUAACCUGAGGACCCUUACUUGGAACUGGCAUCUGAAGUGGGAACAGUCUUGUGGGACUGAACCUUUAAGCUGUGGGUUCUGCACUAACUCUGAGCAGAAUUGGGUUAAAUUGUAGGACAGUCAGUUGGUGACUGCAGAGAAUUGGAGCAUUGCUUGGUAUGGAAAACCCACACAUUAAGACCCACUGGUGUUUCUGUGUGAGUAUAGGAGAAAAACAAUGUUUUCAUUUAGUAGUCAUCGCAUUUUGGCAUGUCUUUAGGUCUGAGACUCUCAAGUUAUUCUUUUUCUUAAGUAGAUUCCAAACUCAGGAUCUUUCUGAUCUCUUUUGGUCUCUUUAGAAUCUUUUAAAUUGAUUAUCUAUGGAGUUUGAUUACCUAGAGGUUCAAAUUGACUGAAGUCAACUUCUUGGGACUCCUUUGAGUACAGAAUUUUAUUCUUCCCUUUGCAACCACAGAACUGGCUGGAUUCUGAGAUGCAGAAAUAUAAAGAUACGGAGAACAUGAGAAGUUAAAAAGCAACUAAAGGAAAGUUUGGGUCAUUGAUUUUGUGGUUUCAGUACAGUCAUGUACCACAUAAGGAUGUUUUAAUCAACAAACAACUGCAUAUACAAUGGUGGUCCCAUAAAAUUAUAGUAAAGCUGAAAAAUUCCUAUCUCCUAAUGACAUUAUACCUGUCAUAACUUGUAUUGCAACACAUGAUCUUUUCUAUGCCUAGAUACACAAGUACCAUUGUGUUACAAUUGCCUAAAUUUAGUACAGUAACAUGCUGUAUAGGUUUGUAGCCUAUAAGCAAUAGGCUAUAGCAUCUAUUAACAGGUUUGUGUAAAUGCACUCUGAUGUUCGCACAAUGAUGAAAUCACUGAAUAAAGGCGGUUUUCAGAACAUCUAUCUGUCAUUAGGAGAUGCAUAACUGUACACAUAUAAAAGCUAAUAAAAAUCUUACAGAACCCUAAA